rnacentral:rRNA from 1 species
CCUACGGGUGGCAGCAGUAGGGAAUAUUGCGCAAUGGGGGAAACCCUGAAGCAGCAACGCCGCGUGGAGGAUGAAGGUUUUCGGAUUGUAAACUCCUUUUGUUAGAGAAGAUAAUGACGGUAUCUAACGAAUAAGCACCGGCUAACUCCGUGCCAGCAGCCGCGGUAAUACGGAGGGUGCAAGCGGUACUCGGAAUCACUGGGCGUAAAGAGCGCGGAGGCGGGAUAGCAAGUCAGAUGUGAAAUCCUAUGGCUUAACCAUAGAACUGCAUUUGAAACUGUCCAACUGGAGUAUGUGAGAGGGCGGCGGAAUUCCUGGUGUAGGAGGGAAAUCCGUAGAGAUCAGGAGGAACAUCAGUGGCGAAGGCGGCCGCCUGGCACAAAACUGACGCUGAGGUGCGAAAGCGUGGGUAGCAAACAGGAUUAGAUACCCCUGUAGUC